GUGGAUUGACCAAAAUGUAUUUAACAAAAAAUACACACAGGAGCACAAUGGAAAAAACACUAACUCGAAGUACUCAAAAAAAUGCCUGGAAAUAAUGAGGAACAAACAAAACUAAGACAGGAAACAAAACAUGACAGGAGCACACGUAUGCUCACAUACUCGCAGCUCACAAUGACCCAACCAAGACUGGCAGAAACUCGGGGAACUAAAUACAAGCUAAGUGACGAGACAACAAACACCUGGACAACACACAAAGGGUUGAGGGAGCUAAUUGGUUACACACAAGGAACACUGAUAACGAGAACAA